rnacentral:lncRNA from 1 species
UCCCACCCUCUCCUAUUCUUCUUCCUUCUACAACCAUGGUUUUCCAUUGUUGGCCUUUCAUAGAUAAGGGCCUCGUUGAAAACUUUUCAGGGUUUGUAUGAACGGUCAAUGAGGAUGGAACCGCGCUGCGACGAAGUGCAAUUCAUCUGAGGGUCAUGUGGGUCAGUGUGGUUCUCAGCUUGGCCUCCAAUAGGGAAACUACUACUAUGUCCUAUCACAUAGCAGUGUUUAGCCUCUUAGGAGAUUAGAAUUAGGCUCUUAGGAGAUUAGAAAUAGAUUUAAGAUCUUAUAUAAUAAGCUUACAAAGCUUGAAAAUUAUUGUAAUGUAUUGUUCAUAUAUUAAUAAAAUGAGU